CGUGUAGGCGGCUUGGUAAGUCGGGUGUGAAAGACCCGGACGCUCAACUCCGGAACUGCACUCGAAACUGCCUCGCUCGAGUCCCGGAGAGGGUGGUGGAAUUCCCGGUGUAGAGGUGAAAUUCGUAGAUAUCGGGAGGAACACCAGUGGCGAAGGCGGCCACCUGGACGGUGACUGACGCUGAGACGCGAAAGCGUGGGGAGCAAACAGGAUUAGAUACCCUGGUAGUCCACGCCGUAAACUUUGGGUGCUAGGCGUCGCGGGUAUUGACCCCCGCGGUGCCGCAGCUAACGCGUUAAGCACCCCGCCUGGGGAGUACGGUCGCAAGACUAAA
rnacentral:rRNA from 1 species